rnacentral:rRNA from 1 species
GACGAACGCUGGCGGCGUGCUUAACACAUGCAAGUCGAGCGGUAAGGCCCUUUCGGGGGUACACGAGCGGCGAACGGGUGAGUAACACGUGGGUGACCUGCCCUCAGCUCUGGGAUAAGCCUGGGGAAACCGGGUUCUAAUACUGGAUAUGACUCCAUGACGCAUGUUGUGGGGUAGGAAAGCCUUGUGCGGCUGAGGAUGGGCCCGCGGCCUAUCAGCUUGUUGGUGGGGUGAUGGCCUACCAAGGCGACGACGGGUAGCCGGCCUGAGAGGCGACCGGCCACAC